rnacentral:lncRNA from 1 species
UUUUUUUAAACUGGAGAAAUGCUGUGUGUAGAAGUAGAAUUGUUAACCCGCCUCUGAGAACAGUGUACCGGCUGUGCUUGUUCAGUGGAUCAAGGAGGUGGGAGGGAAGGAACUGCAAAAAGAUUCCAUUUGUGUGCUAGACAUUUCUAGCUUACCCAUCCCCCUGUGUGUUGUGUGCAUCUCAUGUAACUUUGCUAUGCUGUAUAUAUUGUACAUACUGGACAAACGAGUCCUAUGAUAUCUAGUCUCUAGGUAUUAAAGAGGUUGCCAAUGUAUGACAAAAGUAGUUAGUAAACUCACACAUUCUGUAUACUCUGUUAGUUCAUAGCAAGGUUGUCUUCUGAAGAGUUGUGAAAGUGUAUCAUCCAAGUGACGGGUGCCUAUGUCACGGGACACAAGAUGGGCUGAAGGGGAAGAAAGGUCGGAGACCAGAAUGUCCUCACCAGAAGACACUUGGAGAUCUAACUAGUUACAUGUGCGUGGUUUCAGUACUACUAUGUAUAUAGGGGACAAAUUCAUGUCCUCAUCUGAAACAUCUAGUCCUUCUAGGUGUUUAGAAGUGCACAAAGUAUGUUAAAAGUAGACAUAGUAAAUAAUACGUGUUGUAGAUUCUGUUUAAACUCAUGGUGAAGUGUUGUCUUUUGGAACUAGAAAGAGAAACUGCUUCUGAGCAAUGCAGCCUUGCUUGUGCAGGUCUAGGAGGGAGGAAGAAAGAAAAUGAAUGAAGAGCCUAAUGCUGAUGCAAGUUUGGUAAUACAAGGUUAUCCAUUGUUGCUUAUAUCUGUGCAUCUUACUUUGCAAUGUAUAGAAAACAUAG